rnacentral:lncRNA from 1 species
AACAUUCUGUCAGUGUUAUUGUUAUCAGUGUUAACACAGGAGCCCUACAGUCUAGAGGGCAUUAUCCCCAUUUUUCAGUGGAGGAGGUAAUGAAGGCUAUGGAAGAUGACUCCUCUGGGGCCCACAGUGAGGUAUGUAGGAUUUUGGUCAUAACCUAUCCCCAAUUCCCAGUCUUCCUUACAAUUGUGCUGUGCUGUUACAGAGUCCUGGAACAAGGGCCGAAGUGACAUUGCAGCUGGACCACUGAAACAGCUUGCAAACUCCGGUUCAUGUGACUCGAGGCCAAGGACUCCAAGAUGGAGUGAUGAGGAGAAGGAGAGAGCCAGAUCUUAGCCUUGCCAUUUGGAAGAGGGCUUUGCUAGUCAUCCUUUUGGAUCCUGCAAUUCAUCGUCCUGAGUGGAUUUGUUGCAAAAGCAAGAUCAGGACCAAUCUGACAUCUACAAUGGCAUCGUCUCCUACAGGGUCCAUGAUCUGCCAGUAGGGGAUUCUCUGAAGCAAUUAGGACAGAUGCAUUGUACAAGCUUACAGGCAUAACACGGCCAUCAGGCAAGGACAGCACCUUCAAAUGGAUACAGGAGAGUAACAUAUGGAUGGAGAAGACACACUGUGAGCUCUCGCAGGCAACUUUUUCACUGUGUCUCUUCCUUCAGGCAACAGAGCCCUGGAACAAAACAGAAUCUGGAAAAUAGACAUUGCAUCGAAUCUCAUGUAGCUUCCAAUUGUGCUUAAGCUUGUCUAAGGUGGAGGUUCGGGGAGGAGGAACUGUAAAAUAAUGUUUGGAACAUUCUUCCUAAGAUCCAUAGCUCCACUUUGACUUCUUCAACAUUAAGAGGGAUAAAGUCCUGGUUGCUUCUGCUGUGUUCCCAAGGCUCAUGAAAGCCAGACACUAGACUCCUGUUGGAUCUAAAAGGAAACUCCUAAAUAAGUCCACAAUGUUACUGGGAAAAUGUCUUGAAGGGCCAGUGUUUCUGAUUUCUCAGGUACCAGCCAUUAUCUCAAGAUCAUCUUUUAUUAAGAAAUUGUCUCCCCCCACAAAAAUAAAAAAUUGUCCCCCCCAUCCUGAGAGGCAGUCAUGGCUGACAAGAUACAAAUGUUUACAAGCUAAGAGCUCAUCUUAGAGAAGGGGAAUCAGCGACUUAGAAGCCACAAAUGAUCCUCAGGCACUAUAUGUUAUGGGAGAAAAGGCUAUGGGAUGGUGAGGACGCACCGGGUGACACUGAACAAACCCCUGAAGGGGGCUGUAUGGACAGAAGCUUUGGGACCAUCCCAGGGCCUCCUGAGCUGCUCAAACUGUGUCCUACCCCCAGGCAUGAGGGCAAAUGAAAACAAGAAGGGCGGAGAAGCAACAGAAACCACAUCACCCCAUCCUCCUUGCCAUCUGGUGGGCCCUGAAACCAUCAGUAUAUUUAGUUACUAUGUUUACACAGGAGGCAGGACCCACAUUGCUUGCUCCGGGCUCCCCCAGAGCUGUUGGAAUGGUCUCUACUUCCCUGGGAUCCUAAGGACCACUCCCAACCCCUGUACACACAGGGCUGAAGAUCUACCCAGUCCUGGGGUUUGAGAAAACUGGGGGUUCAGUUGUCCAAAGUGGAGGGAUGUUUAGGUCACCUUAGACCUCAUCUAGCAUUUGCCUGGGGCCUGGGUGUCAAUUUGGGAAGGACGACUUGAGAAGCCAGGAAGGGCUUAGGAUCGUCCGGCUGCGCAAGCUGCCAGGUUGAGGACAGUGGAUGGCUGAAUCAUGAAUAUUAACCAUGGAGCCUGGACCAUGGCAGCAGCUCACUGGACACAGACUUUUAAUAACCAUGGCUCUAUCUCUGCUUCAGAUACGGGACAUAUGUGCCUGCUUAGAAAGUAGGUUGCAUGUGAUGGGUUUUUCCAUGGGAUUUCCCACUCCAUUUUUUUUUUGAGUGGAAAAGCUGAGGGUUAUAAAGGUUCACUACUUCCUAUCUGACCAGGACAGUUAAUAAAGGAUGACCAGAAUUUGAAGGUGGCUUCUUCAUCUCUACCCAAUUUUGGGAAAUAAAGUCAUGGAUAAACUGUC